rnacentral:lncRNA from 1 species
GCGUCAUUCCUCAAAUGCAAGAGAUCUUUUUCUUAAUUGUUGGGUGUUGUUUUGGUGGAAAAUGAAGGAGUAAAAGUGAAUUUUAAAGGUGGAAGAAUAGAGGAAGAAGAAGACAAAGAAAUGAAAUUUUCUUUUCAAAAAUAAAUUGUUAUUGUUGCUUGUUGUAUAUGAAUGUAAGUUGAAUUGGUACUUUUUUACUUGGUUGUUGGGUGUUGUUUUGGUGAAAAAAUGAAGAAUUGAAAGUGUGGUUUAAUGGUGGAAGAGUAGGAGGUAAAGAAAUAAAAUUAUUUUUCUUUAUGAAGAAAGAAGUAAAGAAGGUUUGGAAGAGAAGAAGAAGAAGAUAUUAUUUUUUAUUACGUAUUGUGCUCAAAAAUGGUUUUUCAAAAAUGGAGAAUCAUUUUUUUUUUAAACUUGUUGCUCAAAAAUGGAGAAAGUAAGUUUGGAAGGGAAGAGGAAGGGGAUGGGGGAUUGGGUAGGGGCACUUGGGGGCAGGGUGUUAAUGAUUUUUUGGAAAAUUAUUUUUAUAAUUUAAAAUGCCACGUGUCGUUAUUUAAUUUGCCACUUUGCCAUGUCAUUAGCGUGUGUGUUACACGCAAUCCCAAUUUUUUGCCACGUUAGUAAAUCGAGCUCAAUUGAAAUCAUUUGUGAAGGAGUAAAGCGUUCAAUAGGUACAUGACCUAAUUGAGUUGCCUAAGCGGAAAAAAUCAAAUAGUUGAGGUGCCUGUAUAUGUUUUCCGUCAAAAUAAUAUGAAUAAUCUCAGAAGAUAGACCUGUGAUGUUCAAGAGGGUACAUUGAUUUGACAGGAGAUAGACUUAUGAUGAGGGGUUCUUAGUUGAUAUGGUACAAAUUAUUUUUUUACCAAAAUACAGGUUCUUGGUGUGAGUGGUUGUGCAGAAGAAACUGCUUACAAAAGAAAGGCUCCAGAGAGGAUAGAAGUGCAGUGUGAUCAUGAUGACUGUGUUUUGUGUGAUCAGGAUCUGUUUGAGACUGCUUUCCGCCUGUUUGUUCAAUGUCAAGUUGUUUGUGCAAUGUGGAGAACUAUUAGCAAGUUGGCUAGAAAUUACAAAGGGGCUAAGGAAUGUGCAGAUGAUCAUAAAGGGGAUCAGACAGAAACAAUGGCCAAGGUUCAAAUAGGAGAUUAUAGUAGUCAAUUAUGGUACAGUUUUGUACAAUGUCUGGCAAGCUAGGAAUAAUGGCAAGAUAUUUUGAGAAGAAGCCACUAAUAUUGGCUUUCUGUUUCAACUUGCAGUCUGGACAGAACCAACAUGUAUAGAGAAACAAAAAAUGCUAGGAAAUAUGUUAGCUAUAUAGAUAGGAUCUGUAUAUAGUUGGUCUUUUUGGUUUGUAAGUGGUAUGGAGGCGUAGAUUGUUGGAUCUUAUGGAAACCAAGGGCUCUUUCUAUGAACUCAAAAUUUGUUGGUAUGAUAAUAUUUAUAUUUUAUUAUAAAAAAACUCAGAAAAAAUAUUCGAGGGCCUUUUCCCUUUCAAAUUAUUGAAAAUUGAUGAAUAAAAGAAU